rnacentral:rRNA from 1 species
AUGUUACUAGGAAGGCCAUGGCAAUAUGAUAAACAAUGUUUACAUGAUGGCAGAACUAAUCGCUACACUCUCACACAUAAAGGAAAGAAAAUCAUUCUACACCCUAUGUCUCCUGAGCAAAUUUUAAAAGAUGAUCUUGCUAGGGCUAGUAGAAACAUAAAUAUUGAGUGUACUAAAUCUGAAAAUCAUAAAGUUGUUGAUGAGUUAGAACAAUUUAAUAAGAUGCACAAAUCUGAUCUUAGCACAUCUAAAGAAAUUAAAUUGGAAGGUGCUUCUUUCUUAGCUACACGUGCUGAAAUUUUUGAGUUAGAUGCUCAAGCUGAUGAAUGUUAUGCUCUUAUAUGCAAAGAAGUUUUGUUUUCAUUUGAGGAUAUGCCUCCUUCUUUGCCUCCUGUUGUCGCUAACCUUUUGCAGGAGUAUCAUGAUGUUUUCCCAAAGGAAGUACCACUGGGGCUGCCACCUAUGAGAGGAAUUGAACAUCAAAUUGACUUGAUACCUGGCGCCUCAUUACCCAACCGUGCGCCGUACCUGACUAAUCCCGAGGAGACCAAGGAGAUUCAAUGA